GGAUGGAAGUUAGUGGAGGGGCUAUUACUAGGGAGAAGGUGCUUGGGAAGCUGAAAGGACUGAAGGUAGAUAAGUCACCUGGGCCGGAUGUACUGCACCCUAAGGUUCAGAAAGAAGUGGCUUUAGAGAUUGUGGAGGCAUUGAUAGUGAUAUUUCAGGAAUCACUAGAGUCAGGAGUGGUCCCAGAU